rnacentral:rRNA from 1 species
AUCCGGGUUGCGGACAGUGUCUGGUGGGUAGUUUGACUGGGGCGGUCUCCUCCCAAAGAGUAACGGAGGAGCACGAAGGUUAGCUAAUCCUGGUCGGACAUCAGGAGGUUAGUGCAAUGGCAUAAGCUAGCUUGACUGCGAGAGUGACGGCUCGAGCAGGUGCGAAAGCAGGUCAUAGUGAUCCGGUGGUUCUGAAUGGAAGGGCCAUCGCUCAACGGAUAAAAGGUACUCCGGGGAUAACAGGCUGAUACCGCCCAAGAGUUCAUAUCGACGGCGGUGUUUGGCACCUCGAUGUCGGCUCAUCACAUCCUGGGGCUGAAGUAGGUCCCAAGGGUAUGGCUGUUCGCCAUUUAAAGUGGUACGCGAGCUGGGUUUAGAACGUCGUGAGACAGUUCGGUCCCUAUCUGCCGUGGGCGCUGGAGAAUUGAGGGGGGCUGCUCCUAGUACGAGAGGACCGGAGUGGACGCAUCACUGGUGUUCGGGUUGUCAUGCCAAUGGCACUGCCCGGUAGCUAAAUGCGGAAGAGAUAAGUGCUGAAAGCAUCUAAGCACGAAACUUGCCCCGAGAUGAGUUCUCCCUGAGACUU